UACGUAGGGUGCAAGCGUUAAUCGGAAUUACUGGGCGUAAAGCGUGCGCAGGCGGUUUUGUAAGUCUGACGUGAAAUCCCCGGGCUCAACCUGGGAAUUGCGUUGGAGACUGCAAGGCUGGAGUCUGGCAGAGGGGGGGUAGAAUUCCACGUGUAGCAGUGAAAUGCGUAGAGAUGUGGAGGAACACCGGAUGGCGAAGGCAGCCCCCUGGGUCAAGAUUGACGCUCAUGCA
rnacentral:rRNA from 1 species